CUGUGAAUACCAUCUGUUCCAAAUGCAUUAUGGGAAAUGUAGUACAAAAAGGCGCAGGACUCGCACGAAACACUUGCCACCACCGCACACCACUUUUCAGGUGUUGUGUAUAUAAAUACAUAAGAAAUAAUGUAUUGGUAAGUCACUUGAGUAGCCACACGCGCAAAAUAACGGUUCGCAGUUUAGUGAUAAAUCAUUUAAAAAACUACAUAUCCCAAGUAGACUAUAAAACGAGAUUGGAGAAUGUGGGGUGAGGGUGUCUUGUUGAGGAGGGGGGCAACACACACGGACUACACGCAGCAUUGUGAGAAUUACAUUGUUGCACAUUAUCCAAGGGCUUAGAGACGAUAAAAUAACGCACAGCAGGACAAAACCUUAGUGCACAUCUGCAUCAGCGUACUAUGUGGACGCUGGAAACGACCACCGACAGAGAAUUCAUGUGAAUAAUCAUAUGGAAGCUGAAUGCUGUUCAUUUAGUGCAACAUCUACAACAGCCUGCAGAAAUUUACAUUCCAGAGAGGAGGAGAAGUGGGUGUCUUUACAUCCAAAAACUGUUUUAAGAAUACAUCAUGAUGAAGGGUUAUGCAUCUUAAGAGGCAUUGCAAGCAGAUAGUCCCAGAUUGUGUAGCUAGAGUGGUCCCUGACCCGCAUCAUGCAUAGAGACACUCAAGAGGGACCGGUGGCUUGCCCCUUUGUGUUCGAACCCAUCUCAUUUAUGUGAGGGUCUCAUUCCUCUCUGAACCCACCCUUACCGAUCUGCCAGCGUUGCUUAGAUACAGGAAAGAAAGAAGGGUAGCAAAUGAUUUUCUUGGGGUUGAUGUGACAGGGUGACCUAAUCAAGUCUUUGUCUCAUCCUUAUGCAGUUUGGUUAAAGUACACACAACUGAACUCUAUAAAUGUGAAUGUAAACUCAAUAAAGUGAAAUCAAAUAAGCAGUAUGUUGUCCAGAAAGACAACAAAAAUGUAUUAACAAUCAAACAUAUCCAUUUUAUUUUCUCAGGGAAACUUAUGGGAAAAGUGCAAGAUUUCCUUCCAUUUUUAUAGACAAGUAGAAUUUUCAAUAGCAUACAUCAACAUCAUGACUGUACUGGAAUUUCAACAUCAUUUGUGCAUUAAUAAACUCUAACUGUGCUUUAAA